rnacentral:misc_RNA from 1 species
AACACUGUUAACCUGCGGUACCUGCGGAGGGAUCAUUACAGAGUUCGUGCCCUCGCGGGUAGAUCUCCCACCCUUGUGUAUUCUCUACAUCUUGUUGCUUUGGCAGGCCGUUGGUUCGCCAACCACCGGCUCGCGGGCUGGUGCGUGCCUGCCAGAGGACCUCUCAAACUCGGUUUGUUAGUGUCGUCUGAGUACCAUAACAAUCGUUAAAACUUUUAACAACGGAUCUCAGAUCGGAAG